rnacentral:lncRNA from 1 species
CACUAAAGAGACCCUCUUUUCCGUUGGAAAUUCUGUCGAAAAAACAUUCAACAGAAGUCGCCUCUACUCCGAUCAAGAAUCUACCACCCAACAACAAUGGAUUAUAUAUACUAAUAUUCCUUCAAUUUCACCAUAAAAUUUUAAUAAUUACUCCCUCCACCAUUAACGAUUUUAUCCGGUCAAUUCUGAGGGACACUAGAUCUGAACAUGAAUUUAUAUCUUAAGAAGAAGAAUUCAUGAAGAAAAAAAAAAUGUGUGCGGUG